AACGUAGGAGACAAACGUUAUCCGGAGUUACUGGGCGUAAAGGGCGUGUAGGUGGUUUCGUAAGUCUGGCGUGAAAUUUCUCGGCUUAACCGAGGCAGGUCGUCGGAUACUGCGGAACUUGAGGACGGUAGAGGCGUGUGGAAUUCCCGGUGUAGAGGUGAAAUUCGUAGAUAUCGGGGGGAACACCGGUGGCGAAGGCGGCGACCUGGGUAGAUACUGACGCUGAGGCGCGAAAGCGUGGGGAGCAAACAGG
rnacentral:rRNA from 1 species